CAGAGGGUGCAAACGUUGUUCGGAAUUACUGGGCGUAAAGCGCGUGUAGGCUGCUCAGAAAGUCGGAUGUGAAAGCCCUGGGCUUAACCUAGGAAGUGCAUUCGAAACUUCUGAGCUUGAGUUCUGGAGAGGAAGGCGGAAUUCUCGGUGUAGAGGUGAAAUUCGUAGAUAUCGAGAGGAACACCGGUGGCGAAGGCGGCCUUCUGGACAGUGACUGACGCUGAGACGCGAAAGCGUGGGGAGCAAACAGGAUUAGAUACCCUGGUAGUCCACGCCGUAAACGAUGGGUGCUAGGUGUCGCGGGCUUUGACCCUGCGGUGCCGUAGCUAACGCAUUAAGCACCCCGCCUGGGGAGUACGGCCGCAAGGCUA
rnacentral:rRNA from 1 species